rnacentral:rRNA from 1 species
AUUGAACGCUGGCGGCAUGCCUUACACAUGCAAGUCGAACGGCAGCACGGGUGCUUGCACCUGGUGGCGAGUGGCGAACGGGUGAGUAAUACAUCGGAACAUGUCCUGUAGUGGGGGAUAGCCCGGCGAAAGCCGGAUUAAUACCGCAUACGAUCCACGGAUGAAAGCGGGGGACCUUCGGGCCUCGCGCUAUAGGGUUGGCCGAUGGCUGAUUAGCUAGUUGGUGGGGUAAAGGCCUACCAAGGCGACGAUCAGUAGCUGGUCUGAGAGGACGACCAGCCACACUGGGACUGAGACACGGCCCAGACUCCUACGGGAGGCAGCAGUGGGGAAUUUUGGACAAUGGGCGAAGGCCUGAUCCAGCAAUGCCGCGUGUGUGAAGAAGGCCUUCGGGUUGUAAAGCACUUUUGUCCGGAAAGAAAUCCUUGGCUCUAAUACAGUCGGGGGAUGACGGUACCGGAAGAAUAAGCACCGGCUAACUACGUG